rnacentral:rRNA from 1 species
GAUGAACGCUGGCGGCGUGCCUAAUACAUGCAAGUCGAACGGAAAGAUAAUGAGCUUGUGCCGUUGCCGUUAGCGGCGGGCGGGUGGGUCACGCGUGGAUCCCCUACUUAUCUUUCGGGGAUAAUCACGGAAAACCGGCUAUAAUAGCGUAGCAUAUAUUGAACCGCGUGGUGCAAGGGAAAAUGGCGGUUUUUGUGUCUGUACUAGCGGGUUCCGCGCCGGAUGGGCGAGUUGGUAAGGUCACAGCUUACCAAGGCUACGAUGCGUAGCUGAGCUGAGAGGAUGAUCGGCCACACUGGAACUGAGACACGGUCCAGACUCCUACGGGAGGCAGCAGUAGGGAAUCUUGCGCAAUGGGCGAAAGCCUGACGGAGCAACGCCGCGUGAGUGAGGAAGGUCUUCGGGUCGUAAAACUCUGUUAUUGGGGAAGAAAAAAUGUGUAAGUAACUCUGCACGUCUUGACGGUACCUAAUCAGAAAGCCACGGCUAACUUCGUG